UACGGAGGAUGCAAGCGUUAUCCGGAAUGAUUGGGCGUAAAGCGUCCGUAGGUGGUUAUGUAAGUCUGUGGUUAAAGCGUGGGGCUCAACCCCAUAAAGGCCAUGGAAACUACAAGACUUGAGUGAAGUAGGGGUAGAGGGAAUUCCCAGUGUAGCGGUGAAAUGCGUAGAGAUUGGGAAGAACACCGGUGGCGAAAGCGCUCUACUGGACUUAAACUGACACUGAGGGACGAAAGCUAGGGGAGCGAAAGGG
rnacentral:rRNA from 1 species